rnacentral:lncRNA from 1 species
UGGGGUGGAGAUUGGGGGGAUUUUGGGGGGGAUUGGGGGGGAAUUUGGAGUGGUUUGGGGGGGUUGGGAUCAUUUGAUGCCAUUUGAGGGGAUUUGGGGUCAUUUUGGGGGGAUUUUGGGGGAAUUUGGGGUCAUUUUGGGACAUUUUGAGAGGAUUUGAGGUGGAUUGGGGUGGCUUGGCAUCAUUUGAGGGCAUUUUGGGGGGAUUUGGGGUCAUUUGGGGGUGGGGAAUUGGGGUGGUUUGGGGUAGCUUGGAAUUAUUUGAUGCCAUUUUAGGGGAUUUGGGGUCAUUUGGGGGAUUCGGGGUCAUUUGGGGGGGAUUUGAAAUCAUUUUUGGGGGAUUUUGGAGGGAUUUGGGGUGGUUUGAGGGCUCCGCCCCUUUUCCCUGCAGAGGCGCAGUUGGGGGCGGGGCUUCGGCGCCGGAGGGCGGGGCUUAACCGGGCGCUGCUCUUGCGACUGCUGGCGGAAGCAGCCAAUAGGGAGGGGAAGCGGCUGAGAGCGGCACUUCCUGCCCCGCCCCCACUUCCGGGGCCGGUGGAGGUGGAGCCGGAGCUGGAGGCAGUUGUCGCCAUGGGAACGGAACCGGAAGUGCUGGUGUCGACACGCGCCCUCUGCAGGAUGCGGGAGGAAGCGCUGAAGGAGCUGCUUGGCACGCCCACUUCCGGAGUAAGCCCCGCCCACCUGUCAAUCAUCCAUCCGUUGUCGCUCAUCAGUAUCUCGUUAAUUAUCUUUCAUUGCAG